rnacentral:lncRNA from 1 species
GACAGUGUGCAGGCAGCUGAAGUAUUUUUUGCUUGACCUUUCUGGAGGAGACAGAACUCAGGACUCUUCUAGAAGUAAUCACUACUUAGUGACAAAGAGGGAGGGGAAGAAUUGCUGUGCAUAGUCCUCUGAGCCACUUAGAGUGUUCCAUUCAUCCCAGCAUACUGUGCUUGC